rnacentral:rRNA from 1 species
ACGGGUGAGUAAUACAUCGGAACGUGCCCUGUAGUGGGGGAUAACUAGUCGAAAGAUUAGCUAAUACCGCAUACGACCUGAGGGUGAAAGUGGGGGACCGCAAGGCCUCAUGCUAUGGGAGCGGCCGAUGUCUGAUUAGCUAGUUGGUGGGGUAAAGGCCCACCAAGGCGACGAUCAGUAGCUGGUCUGAGAGGACGAUCAGCCACACUGGGACUGAGACACGGCCCAGACUCCUACGGGAGGCAGCAGUGGGGAAUUUUGGACAAUGGGGGCAACCCUGAUCCAGCAAUGCCGCGUGUGUGAAGAAGGCCUUCGGGUUGUAAAGCACUUUUGUCCGGAAAGAAAUCGCACUUACUAAUAUUAGGUGUGGAUGACGGUACCGGAAGAAUAAGGACCGGCUAACUACGUGCCAGCAGCCGCGGUAAUACGUAGGGUCCAAGCGUUAAUCGGAAUUACUGGGCGUAAAGCGUGCGCAGGCGGUUGUGCAAGACCGAUGUGAAAUCCCCGGGCUUAACCUGGGAAUUGCAUUGGUGACUGCACGGCUAGAGUGUGUCAGAGGGGGGUAGAAUUCCACGU